UCCAGGGUGCCCCUGACACACGUAAGAUGGCAGCUCAGGCCUGUGGAAUCCCCAGGGCUCCCAAGCUGGCUAGGGCCAGGGUUGUCUUACUCACUGGUUGAGGGCACCACUUUCAGAUAAAAACACAGACCUCAAUGGCAUCAUCUAGUAUCCAAGGAAACCGGGAACUACAUUUGUUGGACUUGUUCAUGUUUUUUUGGAUGGAUAAAAUUCCGAUAAGUAGAGAGAAGAGACUUCUUUUGACAGAAACUUGGACAAGCUUCUCAGAGUAUCUAUCCUAAUGCAAAACAACUAGAUUGUGGAUAACAUAUACUUUAUAAUGAGCUACUUGACUUCAAAAAAAUGUUGAACAUCUCCAAAGAUUCUUCUUCCUCAUCCCAAAACCCAAAACUAAAAAUCUGUGAGUUGAAACUGGAGUUGAGAGCAAUUAGCAAAGAGAAAAGUCAGAUUUCAUCAUGUAGACUACAUUUGCCAGCAUGUUUUUGAGAGGCUAGCAGCCCAAUAGUCUAUUCAUCUUCCCAUAAACCCGGCUUGGUUUUACAAACAGGGAGAGCAAGUAAACAUAUUUGUAAACCCAGGUGAUCUGUCGCCUUUUAUGUCUUCUGGUAACUUCAGUAAGGUAGCCAACUGCUUUAUAUUGAUUGACCCACUUUUAGCAAAAGGCCUGUCUUUUACUCAGAAAGCAAUGUUCUAGGCUGAGAAAAACGUGGUUUGCCCUUAAAAAGUCCUGCAAAAACAGUUCUCAAUAUCUUUGUAAAACAUCUCUUCUGAUACUGCAUGCCUGUGAAAGUGUUUUCAUUUCGAUGCACUCACUAGGAUCUCAGAGGCCUUCACCACCACCUCUUCAGUUUAUUAUGUGUUGUUAUGUAGUGUUACAUUGAUCUUUGUACUUUGAAAAUCCUCAGCACUAAAAAGUAGAGAUCACAGGGGAAUGAGCUUCCAUAAGUCUAUACCUGCCUUCAGCCAGCAUUAGCCCAUGAAGACGUUUCGAUCCCAGCUCUAUCCCUAGCUAUUUUGAAGCCAAUCCCCAAGCAUGGCACCCUUUCAUUUGUUAAUGUUAUGUUGUCUGUCUAGUUGUCUCCCUAAAGUCUCAAGCGGU